UCCUGACCGCAAAUCCUCUAUAUGGCGGGCCGAAAGCCGGCGUGAGGCACCUCCAACCCGCUGUUUUGCCCUUCACGUUAAGGCGAUGAAAACUCGUCCCGGAGGGCUGGCGGUGGCCGUCCACUCUCCGUAGGGAGGGUGUGUUCGGCCUUUACCAGGGGAACCGGCUAGGCCCGGGAGAGCGGUGGAUGCCUCGAUGGAGCACCCUAACCCUGGACGUUCAGUGCUUCCGGGAGCGCGGGUUUGAGACCAAACGUGAAGGGGGUAGUGGGAAGGAGUGUCGAGCGCCGGGACCCACCG
rnacentral:SRP_RNA from 1 species